rnacentral:miRNA from 1 species
UCGGCUGUGGUCAGUGUCAAUU